CAGUCGCCGCGGGAAUACGAAGGGUGCAAGCGUUAAUCGGAAUUACUGGGCGUAAAGCGUGCGUAGGCGGUGAGUUAAGUCUGCUGUGAAAUCCCCGGGCUCAACCUGGGAAUGGCAGUGGAUACUGGCUCGCUAGAGUGUGUCAGAGGAUGGUGGAAUUCCCGGUGUAGCGGUGAAAUGCGUAGAGAUCGGGAGGAACAUCAGUGGCGAAGGCGGCCAUCUGGGACAACACUGACGCUGAGGCACGAAAGCGUGGGGAGCAAACAGGAUUAGAUACCCCCGUAGUCCCUGUCUCUUAUCC
rnacentral:rRNA from 1 species